rnacentral:lncRNA from 1 species
CAGAUGUUGGUCUCCUGGGAAUGUGAACUGAGGAUUUCGAGCCUCUAGUUUCCUCUGUGGCCCUGAUCAGAGACCUCACUGCAUAUUCUGUGUUUGUUCAAAAGACACCGAGAAAGUUCUUCCACAGAGGCAAGAGUGAAGCAAAUGAGUGGCUAUUAGACAAGCACUGUGCUGCUGAGCCAUAUUCCCAGCUCACCAGAUCUCCUGAUGGAAUCCUUCACUUGAGUUCAGCUCUCCAAGCCCUGCUCACUUUCUUCCAACUCUGUUCAUAGCAUCAGUGGACUUUCUUCGGUAAGGCAAGAGAGCACUUCAGUUAAAGUCAGGGUUUCAGAAUUAGGUCUGGGUUCAAGUCUUGGCUCUGAAAAUGCUAUCCAUGGGUGAUCUUGUCCAGGAUGCUUCAAAUGAUUUUAGCUUCAGUUUCUUCAUCUGAUAGGUGAGAGGAAAGAAGUUCUUAGGGCAAACUAAAUGAGAUAUUUGCUAUAAAACAUGUAAAAUGAAACAUAAAACUAAGCUACUAAAGUUCAAAAACUCCUCACUUUUGCAUGUUGAGUAUAAAAAUGAAUCUGUGUCUGUCCAAGUCCUCAGAAUUUUUAAGUGAUGUUUGGGAAGUCUCUAUAUGAUGUCUAGGUUGG